GUAACAGAUCGACUAUCGUAUUUGAAUUGAACUUCAUAACUACUGCAUUUAUUUCCUUCUCUGCCCCUUCAUCUUCUCUAUUCUUUAAUUCUUCUAAUCUCUUGUCUUCAUCUUCGCCUCCCAAUCUCCUCCACUGCUCCUUAGAUGCUGCAGAUUUGGACCUACUACAGCUCAACACUCCUUUCUCCAACAAAAGCCAAAGCCCAGAGAGAGAGAGAGAGAGAGAGAGUGCGAGGCUUCCGAAUGUAUUCCCAGGGUUUGACAAAAACCACCUCUCCACGAUUGACGGCAAGUAGCUCGACAAAAACUCUGCUGAUUGGAUUUUGUAUUGGCCUUUAUUGGCGUCUUGUGUUUUGAAUUUGAUUGUGUUUUGGGUUUGGAUUUUUGCAGUUUCUGCUGGACCUCUGUUUUGUGCAUUUGGGUUUAUGCAUGUGGUUCAAUCUGGACCUCUGUUUUAUUGCCUUUGAAUUUUGGAUUUAGAUUUAAUAAGUACAAACGAGUUGGCCAAGCAGAUCAUAGUAUGUUGUCUGGACUCUGGAUUGAAGACCCACCUAAUCCUUUGUUAUUUUUUUCGUACCAAACCCUAUUGGCUUGUUAAAUUUGUUAUUUUUUUUGGUUAUUGAGGGCGCUAGGAUUGGUUUCUCUUAUUCAAGACUGGGAUGGUCAAUAAAUUGGUAGAAGGGAAAAAAUAUCUUUUGAUAAAAAAGAACGAUGAAAUCUACAUGUCCAUAUUAUGGAGUGAAUUUCUAAGAGGAGUCCUUUUUUUUGGUGUUUGAAUGUAUCCCUGCUUUAACCUAUUUGUGGGUUAAUAUGUUGAUCAGUGUUUAAUAUGUCUUUGAUGUAGAAUUGGAAAUGGAGCCUGUAUCUAUUUCAGUCUGCAAUGCCAUCUUUUGAUUUUCCUGAAAAAUAAUUCAAGGAGCAUUAAUGUUUCUGCUAGACCUCUGUUUCUUGCAUUUAGGUUUAUGCAUGCAGUUCAGUACUCUGGCUAUGGUGGAGGACUUGCUGGUUUGAAUAUCUCAUAUUGAAGUUCUGGCUCCCACUCCAAAAAAGGAUGAGCUCUUGCUAAAACUGGAAGCAAUUAAUCUAAAUCCAGUUGAUUAGAAAAUUUAGAAAGGCACUAUGCGGCCUUUGUUGCCUCGCAGGUUCCCUCAAGUGCCUGGUAACUUCUUUAUUGCUUGUUGUUUCUAUUAACAGAACUUUUUAUGGCACCUUGUUAGGCUUAUUUGACCUUAGAAAUGCAUUGUAAUACAUAUAUCUCAUUGACAGCUGUGAAACGGUGCUAAGCUAUAUGCCAAAUUUGGAUAGCUUGUUAUUAUUUGACGGCAGUUGAUUUUUUUGUCAAAGACAUUCUGACUCUUUAUAAUAUCAUAAGCAUGACAGAAAAUCAAAUAUAACUUGAUUCUAUGUUGAUGUUAAAUUGGGUAGAACUUA